GCCGGGAUAGCUGAGUUGGUUAGAGCGUGGUGCUGGUAAUGCCAGGCUUGCAGGUUCGAUCCCUGCAUGGGACA